rnacentral:misc_RNA from 1 species
CCUGACAUGGGAGAUGCUGUUGAGUUCCUUAUUCACGUAGCAACCCCAGCUGAAAAGAUUGCAGUCGUUAAGCAACGGAUAACUAGUUAUGUCGAUAACAAGAAGGAGCAUUGGUAUCCUUCACCCAUGAUCAUAUUCAAGGAUAUGGAAGACCUGAAUAGGGUGCGAAUUGCAGUAUGGUUAACCCAUAGAAUGAACCACCAAGACAUGGGGGAGAGGUUUUCAAGGAGAGCCCUCUUGCUGGAAGAGAUUGUUAAAAUCUUCAAGGAACUUGACAUUCAGUAUCGCCUGCUUCCUCUUGAUAUCAA